GACCUCGUGAUCUGCUCACCUCAGCCUCCCAAAGUGCUGGGAUUACAGGUGUGAGCCAUCACGCCCGGCCGAGCUGCUCCCACCUUUUAUCUAUUGUGAACAACACCGCUAUCAACAGGGGUGGAGCGUCACAGAAACAGAAUCGUGCAGUACGCAUUCAUUUGUGUCUGGCUUCUUCUGCUCAGCAUUAUGUUGCUGAGAUUCACCAACUGUGCAUGGCAGCUGUUCAUCCAUUUUCAGUGCUAACGAUGCCUCAGUCUAGGGAGCGGUGUUUCCUCUCCGGAAGCAGCUGAAGCCCUGAGCUGCUGUCCACAGGCGGACGGACUCUCCCGGAGCCCCCAGUGGGCCUCGGCUCCUCCACGUCAGCUCCUCUCUUGUCCCUCUGCUGGUCCGCGGGGGCCGCUGCAGCUGGCCAGGUCUCCUGGGAGUCAGAGGGGGCCGUGGGUUCCACCCCAGGGCCCACCUCAUCAGCACUGUGCUCUCACCAUCUGAGCACCAGCCCAGAGGAAAAGGAAAAAGAAAGGGGGAUGCUGAUCCCCCAAGCAAAACGGAAACGCCUUCACCUCCCACCCUCCAAAGCACCCAACCUUGGGCCCUGGGCACCGGGGGCCUCACAGGGAGUGUUUGCAUCACAGUAAAAUCUACAACGUUCCCACGGCAUGUGAGUGGACGCUUCCUCAACGCAGGCAUGUCCGGCUGCCCCAGGGAAUCUCCGGUAAUGUCGAGAUCUUUGAAUAACAGCAAGGGAUCAAGGCCGAUGGCAUCUCUGAGGGCCUCAGUUUCCAUCCAUAAUUUAAUUUAUUAGCACAAAAGCUAGUGUUAAAAAUGUGUUAAAAAUUGAGUCCAGGUGGGGCACGGUGGCUCAUGCCUGUAAUCCCAGCCCUUUGG